CACAGCUGGGUGAGUAGGGAGGUGGGAAGCAUUAGGGAGGAGUUGGAGAGGGGAAACAUGCUUUCAAAGGGAAGAGGAAAGACGAAACAUUUAGCACUCUAUCCCCAAAGAAAGUGCAAUUUCUGACAUUUUAAAAACAUGUUUAACAGACAAGAAACAAAAAAGAAAAAUAUCUGGCAGUUUAUAAAAAAGGCUGAAGGCUGUGGUGGGGGACAGCUAGAAGAUCACAGUGAUGGACAGAGACAGCGCUAGACAGUCCUGACUAAUAGGGUUGGUGAGACAGCUGGUCAGGUAAAAGUGCUUGCUGACCCACAAUUCCACCAUAUUGUCCUUGACUUUCAAAUGUGUGUUGUGGCAUGCAUGUGUCCACCCUGCCUACACACACAUGCAAAUUUUAAAGUUCUGUACAGCUUGUUAAAGCCAUAAUCCUAUCAAGAAAUUAAGAACUACUUUAAUAGUUUAGCAUUAGAUUCUGCUAUUUCUUUCCAAAAUUAUGCCAGAAUGAUACAGUUCUGUCGCCAGAGACAUCUGACAGUCUGUUAGCUCAGAAGCUUAUCUUCUAAACUGCUGUGACAUACUCACCCGCUUUAUUACUAAGCUUAUAUAAAAAUGUUUGGCGAGGGUCUGAAUGAUCUCGACAUGUCAACUGUAAAAGAGAGCCUGAUUUUUUCCAUUUCUGCAUAAACCAGAGACCUAGAAAGUUGAAUAUGAUAUGUGAGCACAUAUGGGAAGGUAGUAAUACAUAAAUUUAUUAAUGUUAAUAUAUACUCAUUAAAAAUAACAUUUAAUAAUUAACAUUUUGUUGGUUAAUAAAAAUGUAUUUGCCAACUACUUUACUCUCUGAUAAACAUCUUUACAUGUAUUGCUUAAUGGUGGUUCAUGGAGGCACAGUGACAGAAUAUAUAGUAGUAUACAAACAGCAAACUUGGGAUGAGUCCACCUUUAGGCAGCCAACUUAAAAGUAUAAAACACAGAGAGCAAAACUUUAACCACAGUAGACCCAAAUGUCCAUGCGCUGGACUUUUAGUGAGAAGGUAGUUACAAGGAAGGUAAACAGACUUAAUUUAAACAGCACUUGGAAUGAAUGACUCAUCGACAUCUUCUAGUGACAAUUUGAAACGACUGGUUGGAAAUGGGUACAAAGAAACUGGAAUGAUUCAUCAAUGAAAUUUUAAAUGUAUUUUUACAGUGGGGAUCUGACUAAGCUAUCAUAUUAAAAAAAUCCAAGGGAAAAAUUAAAUCAACCUAUAGGUAAACUAAGGACCUGUCACAUCUUAAUAACUUUUUAUAUUGGUUUGGCAAUAUGACACAUAACCUUUAAUCCUAGAGUUAUGCUUUUUUACUUUUUAUUGAUGUAUUUAGUUUGUUGAGUAUAAAUGCUUGCCUGCAUAUAGAUGUGUGCACUGCAUGCAUGUCUGUUGAAAGUCCCUAGACUUGGUGUGAGUGAGAAAUCACAUGAGUGCUGAGAAUCACACUUGGAUUCUCCGCAAGAGCAACACGUCCUG
rnacentral:lncRNA from 1 species